UACAGAAGGGGCAAGCGUUGUUCGGAAUUACUGGGCGUAAAGGGCGCGUAGGCGGCCUGCUAAGUCGAACGUGAAAUCCCUGGGCUCAACCCAGGAACUGCGUCCGAUACUGGUUGGCUUGAAUCCGGGAGAGGGAUGCGGAAUUCCAGGUGUAGCGGUGAAAUGCGUAGAUAUCUGGAGGAACACCGAUGGCGAAGGCAGGUCUCUGGGCCACUACUGACGCUGAGAAGCGAAAGCAUGGGGAGCGAACAGG
rnacentral:rRNA from 1 species